rnacentral:rRNA from 1 species
UACGUAGGGUGCGAGCGUUAAUCGGAAUUACUGGGCGUAAAGCGUGCGCAGGCGGUUUUUUAAGUCAGAUGUGAAAUCCCCGGGCUUAACCUGGGAAUUGCAUUUGAUACUGGCAGACUAGAGUGCGGCAGAGGGGGGUGGAAUUCCACGUGUAGCAGUGAAAUGCGUAGAUAUGUGGAGGAACACCGAUGGCGAAGGCAGCCCCCUGGGUCAACACUGACGCUCAUGCACGAAAGCGUGGGGAGCAAACAGG